rnacentral:tRNA from 2 species
GGUGGGGUUCCCGAGCGGCCAAAGGGAGCAGACUGUAAAUCUGCCGUCAUCGCCUUCGAAGGUUCGAAUCCUUCCCCCACCACCA